rnacentral:rRNA from 1 species
GACGAACGCUGGCGGCGUGCUUAACACAUGCAAGUCGAACGGAGAGGCCCUGCUUUUGUGGGGUGCUCGAGUGGCGAACGGGUGAGUAACACGUGAGUAACCUGCCCUUGACUUUGGGAUAACUUCAGGAAACUGGGGCUAAUACCGGAUAGGAGCUCCUGCUGCAUGGUGGGGGUUGGAAAGUUUCGGCGGUUGGGGAUGGACUCGCGGCUUAUCAGCUUGGUGGUGGGGUAGUGGCUUACCAAGGCUUUGACGGGUAGCCGGCCUGAGAGGGUGACCGGCCACAUUGGGACUGAGAUACGGCCCAGACUCCUACGGGAGGCAGCAGUGGGGAAUAUUGCACAAUGGGCGGAAGCCUGAUGCAGCAACGCCGCGUGCGGGAUGACGGCCUUCGGGUUGUAAACCGCUUUCGCCUGUGACGAAGCGUGAGUGACGGUAAUGGGUAAAGAAGCACCGGCUAACUACGUG